CUCCAGACUCCUACGGGAGGCAGCAGUGGGGAAUAUUGCACAAUGGGGGAAACCCUGAUGCAGCGACGCCGCGUGAGCGAUGAAGUAUUUCGGUAUGUAAAGCUCUAUCAGCAGGGAAGAAAAUGACGGUACCUGACUAAGAAGCCCCGGCUAACUACGUGCCAGCAGCCGCGGUAAUACGUAGGGGGCAAGCGUUAUCCGGAUUUACUGGGUGUAAAGGGAGCGUAGACGGCUGUGCAAGCCAGAUGUGAAAGCCCGGGGCUCAACCCCGGGACUGCAUUUGGAACUGUGUGGCUGGAGUGUCGGAGAGGCAGGCGGAAUUCCUAGUGUAGCGGUGAAAUGCGUAGAUAUUAGGAGGAACACCAGUGGCGAAGGCGGCCUGCUGGACGAUGACUGACGUUGAGGCUCGAAAGCGUGGGGAGCAAACAGGAUUAGAUACCCCGGUACCC
rnacentral:rRNA from 1 species